UCCGGGGGAGCAUCAGGAGGCGAAGAGAGUCAUGUUAGAGAUUUAACUAAACAACAGCUCAGGCUUUAAAGUUGUGUCUACAUUAUGGAGGCUAUACCUGCAUAGCUAUGGCAGCAGAAACCUGUGGUACAGACGCAGCCUACACCUACAGAAGGGAUUUUUCCAUCAAUCACAUGCUUUCUACAACAUGAAACUGACAGUCUCAUAGUCAUGCAAUACAUCACCAUAUGAGGAGAGAUUUGGGAUAGCAAGUUACUGAAUACAGACAACUCCUGAAAAGCCCUACGCUCCUUCUAGGUUCCUGUGAGGCACUGAGAGCCCUCAGUCACGACUGGGAGCUGAGGGUGCCUAGCGUCUUGCAGGAUCAGUACUUCUGUGUAAACAGACACUCUUCUAUCUGACUUCAGCCUGCCUUACCGAGUGAUGCUGUACACCUCACAGCUGGUUUCAUGAUAAUGCAGUAUGAUGUCACAAAUGAUGGAUGGUGACAUCGCUGAACAAAUCCAGGAAGGUGGAGUUAGCUGGUGAGAAGAAAGAUGCAGAAAUAGAGCCCAGGAGGUGAAUGGAGAUUUCUCUUGUGUGUGCAGAAGAUACUGAACCUUGACAAAACAGAACAGCCAGAAGAAAUCGUGUAGCUAAUUUCACAACAUGUAACAGAUUUCUAUCAGAUUUUUAUAACUAUUCUACUCUCUGAUCAUAAAAUAUCAACGUGCUUUCAGAAAUGCUAGCAAGAAAUCCUCCAACACCAAGCAGUGUGAUCGAUACAGCUUUAGUAGACGAUAUUUUCCUCUCUUUCUUUUCUUUCUUUUUCUUUUUUUUUUUUUGGAUGCAUUGGUUUCUUCUGUACUAGAAAAUCGUUUAUCCAAGAGAAAGUAUUACUCUCCAAGCUCUGGGCUAUUGGCAUUUUACAGUAGCUUUUCUGGAAGAAGAUGAUCUAAGAAAAUGUUAAUCUUUCACCUGGUUUAUAUUGGUCUUCAGUUGCAAAGCUUGGAUUAACACUGAGCACUGCCGAAAUGCUUUUUAUGUGCUGUGUGUACUAAACUCUAGUAAUGACACUUUACAAA